UGUUCCGUGCGGAAUGAGGUUCUCCGCGGGGCAGAAGCCCCAAACCGCCUUCGGGAUGAUGACCUCUGCCACUGU
rnacentral:ncRNA from 2 species